rnacentral:rRNA from 1 species
UGAAAUCUCAACAGGCCCGGACACUGGAAGGAUUGACAGAUUGAUAGCUCUUUCUUGAUUCGGUGCGUGGUGGUGCAUGGCCGUUCUUAGUUGGUGGAGUGAUUUGUCUGGUUAAUUCCGUUAACGAACGAGACCUUAACCUGCUAAAUAGUGACACGGUUAUUUUAACCGUGGUUUACUUCUUAGAGGGACUAUCGCUUUCAAAGCGAUGGAAGUUUGAGGCAAUAA